rnacentral:rRNA from 1 species
GACGAACGCUGGCGGCGUGCUUAACACAUGCAAGUCGAACGGAAAGGCCCUGCUUUUGUGGGGUGCUCGAGUGGCGAACGGGUGAGUAACACGUGAGUAACCUGCCCUUGACUUUGGUAUAACUUCAGGAAACUGGGGCUAAUACCGGAUAGGAGCUCCUGCUGCAUGGUGGGGGUUGGAAAGUUUCGGCGGUUGGGGAUGGACUCGCGGCUUAUCAGCUUGUUGGUGGGGUAGUGGCUGACCAAGGCUUUGACGGGUAGCCGGCAUGAGAGGGUGACCGGCCACAUUGGGACUGAGAUACGGCGCAGACUCCUACGGGAGGCAGAAGUGGGGAAUAUUGCACAAUGGGCGGAAGCCUGAUGCAGCAACGCCGCGUGCGGGAUGACGGCCUGCGGGUUGUAAAACGCUUUCGCCUGUGACGAAGCGGGAGUGACGGUAAUGGGUAAAGAAGCACCGGCUAACUACGUG